rnacentral:misc_RNA from 1 species
CUGUGAUCCACCGCACCCGUGCAUGACAUCGCUAACCCACCUGCCUCGCCGGCGCGCUUCUCCUCUCUCACCCCAUCACCACCACCACACACACACACACACACACACACGAAGGUAAGGGCAAGGAGGGCGUGUGCAGGUCAUAUGGAGGGUUCAGGGGAGGAUCACUGAUAUUCCAAGGGUGGGCGCGUGCGUGGGUGGGGUUAGAACUGGCGAUGGUGGCUCAGCGUCGAAAACGCACGAAAAAGAUGUGCUCGUCUGUCUUUCUUUCUUCGCCGGUACGUCUCUCUUGCAAACAUGUGCCCACGCUCAGCGCAGCGCGCCCACAUACACAGAGAGCGAGAUGAGAGGGCUCAGAUUGCUGCGCCCAGUGUUGCUGUUUCGGAGGGUGCGCUGGAGCCUGCGAGCAACGUUCUGCUUCCCGCACGCGCGAGCGCCCCCCCCCCCCCCCAUCUCAGUGCCACCAUGGCUGCCGGUGAGCCCCCCCCCCGCUCUGCUGUUCAGCGUGCGGUGGCCUUGGCUGUGAAUGAAUGUGCGUGCGGCUGUAUUUUGGCUUCGUUAGAGGCAGCCGCACAUGACCUGUAAAACGAAGAAGUCGUUCUUUGCAGACUGCAGCCGAAGUGAGCUCGCCUCUCAGCACGAGGUUCAUGGGAGGCGGUAUCGAUGGGCCCUUCCUACGCGUGGGAAUGGUCCUGCUUUCGUGGUCGCUUCCACUGCAGCGUUGGUGCAAUCGCGUAAUGUUACCACACGCUGCGCGUGUGCAGGAGGGAUCUGGCGUGGGCGUCAGUGGCGGUCGUGUGCGUGCGCUGUACUGCAUGCACCAACGCGAUGCCUUGGAAAGAUGCCGCCGUGCCGCGUCCGAAUCUGCUGAAUACGCUGACAACGGCAUUCUUUGCCUUGCAAUAAGCUGCUUUCCCUAGUGCUCCUCCAUAGCUUCUGCGCUACCACCCUCUCCUCUCCGUCUCCCGUGCUUCACUUCAUCGGCGUGCUUCAUCACGCGCACCUUCCAAACACUCACAUGCGACGUCGCCGCCACGUCAAUGCACUCGCGUGUGACACAACCUUUGGUGUCUGCUUUCUUCAUUCCCCUUGCUUCGCCCCCUCCCCCGGUGCCAUCCAUGUGCGUAUGCGUCUUCAUGUGCAUCUGUCGGGUCGCCAG